GCAGUUUUGUAAGUGAGCCCAGGAUAGGGGCUGGUGCUCCACUGCCUUUCACCUUGAUACAUCUUCAGCCAAGUACAGAAAAGAGAGAGCAGCAAAUCUGAGCGUGUUGUGGCUGUACUGAAGGAUUCUGCACUGCUGGGGGACAGCUGAGGUCCGUGAAGCUGCCUCUGGGUUGGCCUUCAGCUUGCUCGUGCAUCCAGACACAGUGAACUGGAGCUUUGGCAUAGAGGAAAGGAGGUUUCGAGAGAGGACAACACGCUUGUUUUUUCUGCUGCCUGCAGAACCAGCGCUUGAUCUCAUGAGUUAGAUGACUUUUGAAAGGUGCCUGGAAGUCCCUUGCAGAAGUUGCUGCUCCCAGGAAUGUGCUGACAUAAUGGCUCCUACAGAAGCGUGAAGCUGAAUCAGGUCCUCGCCCUGCUCUGUGCAGAAUUAUGUCCCAGUGAGGAGGGAUCAGAAAGAGGCUUCCUGAAAUACUGCCCUUGCACUAGAGAUCUGUCACAAUUGAGACAACUUUCAAAUAUAAAUUGUGUUAAUAAUGCUCCAAUUUGCUCAGUCAGAGGCUGGGAAGGAGCAGAACCCAGAAAUAAAACAUAAAAAGUGUGUUCUGGCCACUGAAGCCAGUGUUGGCACAUCUUUUCAUGGAUCACUCUGGACUGGGGAAGUCAUCUAAUCAAGAACAGGCUAGCAUGGACAAAAGCUGGCUCAGCUUCCAGGCUGCUCCACCCAGGCUGGAGGCAUCUUCCUGUGUUCUGUGAACAGUGCAGCAAAGCAGAGAAUUUCAGGGACCGGAGAUCAAUCUGCUGUGCGGACACUGCUGUCAAAACAGCUCUUUAAUCACUUUGCCAGCAGUCAGGCUGGUUUCUCAUCGUUGUGUAUGAAGAUCUGAUGUUCACAGUCUGCUGCAGUCCCCAAAGAGGGCAAUUGCAUCCAGCUGAGUGUUCCAGAACUACAUGGCGUAAAAGGAGCAGAUAUCCACAGCCCUUGGGCACCGAACAGUGCCACUCUCUCCCAAGUGGGAGAGUAGCCAGCUGUGACAUCCCCUGAGUGGAGCAGACACAUCAGCCAGAGGCCUGUGAGAACUUGGAACAUUAGGAGGGGUUGGAAACCAACAAGGCCUGGACUCCCAUGACUAUGUCCAACCACAGCUUGAGGGUAUCAUUGUGCUAAAAGACUGGUUGUAUGUAACACCAGGUAUAGCAGCUGCUUGGAAAUGAUAGAUAUUUAAAUGCUGCUUUCUCCCAUCAGCCCUAUCGAGUCAGCAAGGCAGGGAGAGCUUGUCCUUCACAGCGUCCUUCCCUGCCCUCCAGGCCCUGCCAGCCCUGGUACCCCACAGCAUGCAUGGGUGAUCUCUGAAAGCCUCUGCUGGGCUAAACACCACCUGAUUCAGAGGGACAGAAGGAAGCCAGGGCUGGUGCUCAGUUCCCAGUCUGUGCAUGAGGUAGAAGUAAAACCAGCUGACUUCCUAUCAUGCUUGAGUGCAUCCACACUGGAGGUACCAAGUAAACGCAGGGACUGGUCCUUGGAUUUUGCUUUUUGGGUGGAUCUGCCUUUUAGAAUGUGGACAGAUGAAGAGCUGGAUCCUGUGACACAUCAAGCACGUGUCAGACUUACAUCUGCUGACUGGGCUGCUUUUCUUGGGGAUGGGUAAGGAAAGAAAGUGCUCUGUAAGUACAGGAGGAAGAGAAGGAAGUGAAUGUAAUCACUGGUUGCAUAUGCAAGGGUGGGUUGGUUGGUUUGUGUGGGUUUUUUUUGCCUUUCUUAUGCAUCUUCCUGAAUAAAGGUACUUUCUGGAGGCUCAAAUUUAGUUGUUAGGCAAUAUUCAGUGAAGAAUGAAACAUCUCCAUUUCAGGUUUUAAUUCCAAGGUGUGGUACCAAAGUUCUCAGACAGUCUUCCUUUGACACGAGUGGAAAGUUUUGCUGAAGAAGGCUUCUGCUUUCAGUCAUGCUAUUGAGGGGCCUGGGUUACAGCUACUUUGUUUAAGAAUGCAUCACAGGUCAGAGAAAAGACUCUGUGAAGGAACCUCUCAGUGAGGCACUAUUUUGAAUCACAGAAUUGUAAGGGCUGGAAGGAACUUCUAAAGAUUAUCUGAUCAUUUGAGGCAGCGAUGGAACUUAAGUCCCAGAAGUUCCUCCUUUAAUCAGGAGUCGCACCUUUCAUUGCCACACUGUGGAAGAACCUCCCCACUUAAUCCCCCAGGACUGAGUGUGGGUAGGAAA